AAUAUUGGACAAUGGGGGCAACCCUGAUCAAGCCAUGCCGCGUGUUUGAGGAAGGUCUUCGGAUGGUAAAGCACUUUAAGUUGGGGGGAAGGGCUUUGGGCUACUACCUUGAAUUUUUAAGUUUACCAACAGAAAAAGCACGGGCAAACCCUGUGCCAGCAGCCGCGGUAAUACAGAGGGUGCAAGCGUUAAUCGGAAUUACUGGGCGUAAAGCGCGCGUAGGUGGUUCAGUAAGAUGGGUGUGAAAUCCCCGGGCUUAACCUGGGAACUGCUUUCAUAACUGCUGAACUAGAGUACGGUAGAGGGUAGUGGAAUUUCCUGUGUAGCGGUGAAAUGCGUAGAUAUAGGAAGGAACACCAGUGGCGAAGGCGACUACCUGGACUGAUACUGACACUGAGGUGCGAAAGCGUGGGGAGCAAAC
rnacentral:rRNA from 1 species